AACGAACGCUGGCGGCAGGCCUAACACAUGCAAGUCGAACGCCCUAGCAAUAGGGAGUGGCAGACGGGUGAGUAACACGUGGGAACCUUCCCUAUAGUACGGAAUAGCCCAGGGAAACUUGGAGUAAUACCGUAUACGCCCGAGAGGGGAAAGAUUUAUCGCUAUAGGAUGGGCCCGCGUCGGAUUAGCUAGUUGGUGAGGUAAUGGCUCACCAAGGCAACGAUCCGUAGCUGGUUUGAGAGAACGACCAGCCACACUGGGACUGAGACACGGCCCAGACUCCUACGGGAGGCAGCAGUGGGGAAUAUUGGACAAUGGGCGCAAGCCUGAUCCAGCCAUGCCGCGUGAGUGAUGAAGGCCUUAGGGUUGUAAGCUCUUUUAGCAGGGAAGAUAAUGACUGUACCUGCAGAAUAAGCUCCGGCUAACUUCGUGCCAGCCGCCGCCGUAAGAC
rnacentral:rRNA from 1 species